AACCCAAGCUAAAAGACUGCAUUUACUACCCUUCCUUGCUAACAAGAGUGACUAUGUGACUAUGUUCUGGCCAAUGCAAACAGCCUGAAAAGCUGAUGUAAUGACUGGAUCUUCAGCAGCCAUCUUGAGCAAGAGGUAGAAACUAGAGGCUGAGGAAUGAUGGAGCAGAAAGGAAGGAGCUGGGGUUCCUAUUAACAUCCUGAAGCUACACUAUCAGGCCUGGACUGACCAACUCUUUCUGGCCUUCUUUUACGAGAGAAAAAUACAGUUAUUUAAACCACUAUACUUCUGUUUUCUUUUUUGGGGUAUAGAUAACUGAACCUAAUCCUGUCCCAAAUCCUGAUCCUAUCUAACCAGUGUUAGCUAUCGGCCCAUAUGUAUACUGGAGAAUGACAUCUAACAAAAUAAGAUGUUAAAGUUCUAACUAAUUGUAAUAAUCAUGCAGUUUUCUCAUGCUGAACAAAGUUAAAGAAAUAUAAUGUGUGUUUCCUAAAGAGUGUCAUUUUUUGGAAAGAUAACAUGGGGCACAAAGUAACAUAAAAAUCUACACAUAAUUAUAUAAACAUUGCUUUGACAUACAACACCAAAUAUUUUUAUUGUAUUUGUGAAUGCAUUUCUUGGUAAUAAAAUUGCAGUUAUGAAUAAGUGAUACUUGGAAAGCUGUAACAUAAUGGGAGGAGAAGGUAUUAACACUGUGAUUUUAUGGUGUUGAAUCAGUUUUAGUUUCUUAUACAACUGAGAGCUUUAUGUUAUUUAGACUGUCUGAACACUGGCGCAAGGUAGCAUUUUACUUAUCAAAACACUGGAGGAGGCAGUCUAUUUUAUGUGGGAAUAAUAGCUUUUUAACAGUGUUCGAUUAGGAGACAUUAGGAACCUUGCCUUGAAAACCAUUAGCAAAUUUAUCUAGAAGAUUUUACGUUACAUCUUAAAACAACCAGCCGCUAAGGACAUCCUAAACUGCUUAGUAUGCCAAUUUGCCUCAGAUGCUUGCCAUAUAAGCUGCUUUCAGGAGUCAGCAAUGAGUAUCAUAGAUACUUGAGGAUAAAAGGUUGAAGGAUAUUGGCAUUCAAAGAUGAAGCCAGAAACCCUGUACAGCCAAAAAAAUUAAACUUGCAUUUUACUUUGGAGUGAAAUGUCUUUGCUAUUUCCAAAGUUUUUAACUUUUGGUUUCUCAACUAGCCCUAGCGAUACAAGGGCCUGACUAAUGACUCUUCCCAACAUUGUCAAACUUAAUUCAAACUUGAAAUCAAUCCCCUUUUUUUUUCCUCCUAAAGCAAAGUACCUCACAAUAAUAAUAUGAGUACAUCUGAAUGGCCAAUUUAAAAGUUUAAGUCAUUCUUUUGUAAUCAGUGCUAGAAUUAACUAGUGAUUUUUUUUUUUUGGGCCAGGAAUAACAAAAUAAUAGAAACUUCAUAUAUAUUAGAAAAAGAUCUGUAAGUUUGAGCCUUAUAUAUUAUUACAAUGUGGCAAUCAAGAGGAAAACUCAAGACAACUGUGCGCUGUGCUUGUCCUGUUUUGUUCAAACCACGAUAAUUUUAAAUAAAUAGUAAUGUUCAACAUUCACUGAUGACAUUAUCUAUCAACCACAUCACACCUGGAACACAGUAGAUAAUAAACGGCAGCUGUUAUACCUUCCUUCUUGAAACAAAAUCCUGUCAUUUCAUUCUCAUUUUAACUUUGUGUUAAGCUUCUACAAUCCAUAAAAAUGAUAAAACAAUAAAAUGGUCCAACAUUA